rnacentral:ncRNA from 1 species
CGUUUUUAAUACUAUGAUCUACAUGACCUUUACCAGUUAAAUGAAUAAUUUGAUAUUUCUUUGUUAAAUAGUCUAAGUUAUCUCUAAUCGCUUUAUUUAAAGCUUUAGAACCUAAGCUACCACCCAUUACGAGUAAUACAGGUAAUUGAUCAUUAAAGCCCGUUAAUUGAUAACC